rnacentral:lncRNA from 1 species
CACGAUUCUGAAUACAAACACAAUACCAACAGUUAGAUGUAUCUCACAAUAUUUAUAAUGGGACAAGUGAGCCUGAGGUCAACUUCCUCUGCUAGGAGGCAAAGUUGUCGGAUGUGAGAUGUUCCUGCAAAUCAUUCCACUGUCCCCUCUUCAGGUUCCUGAGUACUGGCAGUACAGCACUGAUGUGAAGACAUUGUUCUGAGUCAGACAAGAAACCAUGGGCUUGAGAUUGGCUCUGACAGAAUGCCUUGUGUUCUCCGUGAAGCCUCAAGUAUAUAUUCAAGUUCCAAUUCUCUUAGCUAUAAAAUUAUGAUUUUAAUGGAAUCUACCUCAUAAGGAUAUUAGGAGGAUUAAAUUUGAUAAAAUAUGCAGUGUAAUUUUCACAGUGAUUUUAAGUGCUCGAUAAAUGUUAGUAUAAUAAGUAGUGAUUCUAAUAAUUUUUUAUGAUUCUUAUGGAAUAUAGUCACAAAAUGAAACCUGGUAUAUCAUUUGCAAUUUAUAAUCUGCUAUUUUUGUUUAAAUACAUUUGAGUAAUAUUAACUGAUAGUAGUGAAAAUGAGCAUUUUAACUUGUUCCUGAUAGUAUUGGAACAGCUUCAAGUUUUUCACCAUCAUACACAGUGCUGCUGAUUGUUUUAAGAUUUAUAUUUUUAAAAUCAUAUAAAUAAUGUAUAUAUACUUUCACAAAUUUUUUUUCUUUGUCGGGAAUGUAUAUUUAUUUUAUAAUCCUUUAAUAUCUAUUAACUUGAUCAUUUUUUCCUCCUCCAGAUUAUAAUUAUG